CAACAACUUUGCUAGGUCCGGUGCAUUCAAUUUCCUAUAAAGGGGAAUGCAUUUGGUCUCAUGGGGGUGAGCAGCGUGGUACGCUCGCAUAUCGAGUACUGCAAAUAGAAUAAGAAACAAUUGUUAGUUACAGAUUAAACAUCAAUUAGCAGUUUUCUGACAUAAGUUGCAAGUGGAUUGUUAAAUAGAAAAGAUAGUGAUUGUCUAUGUUAUACAGUAAUGGACUAUGAUUGUCUAUAGUAUACUAUAGAACACUAUGAAAAGAUAGUGAUUGUCUAUGGUAUACAGUAAUGGACUAUGAUUGUCUAUCCUAUACUAUAGAACACUAUGAAAAGAUAGUGAUUGUCUAUGGUAUACAGUAAUGGACUAUGAUUGUCUAUGAAAAGACUAUGAUUUACUACAUUUUCUUAAUGAAUGUUUACCAUGAUUAAAGGUACACGGCCGAUAUUUUUUGCAGGUUCUAAAUCUCGGAUAGAUUUGUGCAAGAAUUUAGUUAUGCCACGAGGCCAAUCAUAUUGUUUCAUAUUGUUUAUGUCGUAUGUCGUCCGAGUACUUGAACAUCCACUAUUUUAUGAACUCCUUUGUAGAAUCUGAGAAGAACAUGUUGGUCACUAAAUUGGGGACUACUGGAGAGUUGUAUCCACAUUGGUCUCGUUGUUUAUGAGCGAGAUUCAAC
rnacentral:lncRNA from 1 species